rnacentral:rRNA from 1 species
AAAUUGAAGAGUUUGAUCAUGGCUCAGAUUGAACGCUGGCGGCAGGCCUAACACAUGCAAGUCGAACGGUAACAGGAAGCAGCUUGCUGCUUCGCUGACGAGUGGCGGACGGGUGAGUAAUGUCUGGGAAACUGCCUGAUGGAGGGGGAUAACUACUGGAAACGGUGGCUAAUACCGCAUAACGUCGCAAGACCAAAGAGGGGGACCUUCGGGCCUCUUGCCAUCAGAUGUGCCCAGAUGGGAUUAGCUAGUUGGUGAGGUAACGGCUCACCAAGGCGACGAUCCCUAGCUGGUCUGAGAGGAUGACCAGCCACACUGGAACUGAGACACGGUCCAGACUCCUACGGGAGGCAGCAGUGGGGAAUAUUGCACAAUGGGCGCAAGCCUGAUGCAGCCAUGCCGCGUGUAUGAAGAAGGCCUUCGGGUUGUAAAGUACUUUCAGCGGGGAGGAAGGUGUUGUGGUUAAUAACCGCAGCAAUUGACGUUACCCGCAGAAGAAGCACCGGCUAACUCCGUGCCAGCAGCCGCGGUAAUACGGAGGGUGCAAGCGUUAAUCGGAAUUACUGGGCGUAAAGCGCACGCAGGCGGUCUGUCAAGUCGGAUGUGAAAUCCCCGGGCUCAACCUGGGAACUGCAUUCGAAACUGGCAGGCUUGAGUCUUGUAGAGGGGGGUAGAAUUCCAGGUGUAGCGGUGAAAUGCGUAGAGAUCUGGAGGAAUACCGGUGGCGAAGGCGGCCCCCUGGACAAAGACUGACGCUCAGGUGCGAAAGCGUGGGGAGCAAACAGGAUUAGAUACCCUGGUAGUCCACGCCGUAAACGAUGUCUACUUGGAGGUUGUGCCCUUGAGGCGUGGCUUCCGGAGCUAACGCGUUAAGUAGACCGCCUGGGGAGUACGGCCGCAAGGUUAAAACUCAAAUGAAUUGACGGGGGCCCGCACAAGCGGUGGAGCAUGUGGUUUAAUUCGAUGCAACGCGAAGAACCUUACCUGGUCUUGACAUCCACAGAACUUUCCAGAGAUGGAUUGGUGCCUUCGGGAACUGUGAGACAGGUGCUGCAUGGCUGUCGUCAGCUCGUGUUGUGAAAUGUUGGGUUAAGUCCCGCAACGAGCGCAACCCUUAUCCUUUGUUGCCAGCGGUCCGGCCGGGAACUCAAAGGAGACUGCCAGUGAUAAACUGGAGGAAGGUGGGGAUGACGUCAAGUCAUCAUGGCCCUUACGACCAGGGCUACACACGUGCUACAAUGGCGCAUACAAAGAGAAGCGACCUCGCGAGAGCAAGCGGACCUCAUAAAGUGCGUCGUAGUCCGGAUUGGAGUCUGCAACUCGACUCCAUGAAGUCGGAAUCGCUAGUAAUCGUGGAUCAGAAUGCCACGGUGAAUACGUUCCCGGGCCUUGUACACACCGCCCGUCACACCAUGGGAGUGGGUUGCAAAAGAAGUAGGUAGCUUAACCUUCGGGAGGGCGCUUACCACUUUGUGAUUCAUGACUGGGGUGAAGUCGUAACAAGGUAACCGUAGGGGAACCUGCGGUUGGAUCACCUCCUUACCUGAAAGAA